rnacentral:rRNA from 1 species
GAUGAACGCUAGCGGCAGGCUUAACACAUGCAAGUCGAGGGGCAGCGUGAGGGUUAGCAAUAACCCUUGACGGCGACCGGCGCAAGGGUGCGUAACGCGUGAGCAACUUGCCCUUAUCAGGGGGAUAACCGGUGGAAACGCCGACUAAUACCCCCUGGCAUUGGUUGGAGGCAUCGGAGAUACAUUAAAGAUUUAUCGGUAACGGAUGAGGAUGCGUACGAUUAGCUAGUUGGCGGGGUAACGGCCCACCAAGGCGACGAUCGUUAGGGGUUCUGAGAGGAAGGUCCCCCACACUGGAACUGAGACACGGUCCAGACUCCUACGGGAGGCAGCAGUGAGGAAUAUUGGUCAAUGGUCGAGAGACUGAACCAGCCAAGUAGCGUGAAGGAUGACUGCCCUAUGGGUUGUAAACUUCUUUUGUUUGGGAAUAAAGUCAGGUACGUGUACCUGUUUGUAUGUACCAUUCGAAUAAGCAUCGGCUAAUUCCGUGCCAGCAGCCGCAGUAACAC